rnacentral:rRNA from 2 species
AGAGUUUGAUCCUGGCUCAGGACGAACGCUGGCGGCGUGCUUAACACAUGCAAGUCGAACGGAAAGGCCCUUCGGGGUACUCGAGUGGCGAACGGGUGAGUAACACGUGGGCAAUCUGCCCUGCACACCGGGAUAAGCCUGGGAAACUGGGUCUAAUACCGGAUAGGACCACUUGGCGCAUGCCUUGUGGUGGAAAGCUUUUGCGGUGUGGGAUGGGCCCGCGGCCUAUCAGCUUGUUGGUGGGGUGACGGCCUACCAAGGCGACGACGGGUAGCCGGCCUGAGAGGGUGUCCGGCCACACUGGGACUGAGAUACGGCCCAGACUCCUACGGGAGGCAGCAGUGGGGAAUAUUGCACAAUGGGCGCAAGCCUGAUGCAGCGACGCCGCGUGGGGGAUGACGGCCUUCGGGUUGUAAACCUCUUUCACCAUCGACGAAGGUCCGGGUUUUCUCGGAUUGACGGUAGGUGGAGAAGAAGCACCGGCCAACUACGUGCCAGCAGCCGCGGUAAUACGUAGGGUGCGAGCGUUGUCCGGAAUUACUGGGCGUAAAGAGCUCGUAGGUGGUUUGUCGCGUUGUUCGUGAAAUCUCACGGCUUAACUGUGAGCGUGCGGGCGAUACGGGCAGACUAGAGUACUGCAGGGGAGACUGGAAUUCCUGGUGUAGCGGUGGAAUGCGCAGAUAUCAGGAGGAACACCGGUGGCGAAGGCGGGUCUCUGGGCAGUAACUGACGCUGAGGAGCGAAAGCGUGGGGAGCGAACAGGAUUAGAUACCCUGGUAGUCCACGCCGUAAACGGUGGGUACUAGGUGUGGGUUUCCUUCCUUGGGAUCCGUGCCGUAGCUAACGCAUUAAGUACCCCGCCUGGGGAGUACGGCCGCAAGGCUAAAACUCAAAGGAAUUGACGGGGGCCCGCACAAGCGGCGGAGCAUGUGGAUUAAUUCGAUGCAACGCGAAGAACCUUACCUGGGUUUGACAUGCACAGGACGCGUCUAGAGAUAGGCGUUCCCUUGUGGCCUGUGUGCAGGUGGUGCAUGGCUGUCGUCAGCUCGUGUCGUGAGAUGUUGGGUUAAGUCCCGCAACGAGCGCAACCCUUGUCUCAUGUUGCCAGCGGGUAAUGCCGGGGACUCGUGAGAGACUGCCGGGGUCAACUCGGAGGAAGGUGGGGAUGACGUCAAGUCAUCAUGCCCCUUAUGUCCAGGGCUUCACACAUGCUACAAUGGCCGGUACAAAGGGCUGCGAUGCCGCGAGGUUAAGCGAAUCCUUUUAAAGCCGGUCUCAGUUCGGAUCGGGGUCUGCAACUCGACCCCGUGAAGUCGGAGUCGCUAGUAAUCGCAGAUCAGCAACGCUGCGGUGAAUACGUUCCCGGGCCUUGUACACACCGCCCGUCACGUCAUGAAAGUCGGUAACACCCGAAGCCAGUGGCCUAACCCUCGGGAGGGAGCUGUCGAAGGUGGGAUCGGCGAUUGGGACGAAGUCGUAACAAGGUAGCCGUACCGGAAGGUGCGGCUG